rnacentral:rRNA from 1 species
UACGUAGGGGGCAAGCGUUGUCCGGAAUCAUUGGGCGUAAAGAGCGUGUAGGCGGCCAGAUAAGUCCGCUGUGAAAUCUCGAGGCUCAACUUCGAGCUGUCGGUGGAAACUGUCUGGCUAGAGUCCGGAAGAGGAGAAUGGAAUUCCUGGUGUAGCGGUGAAAUGCGCAGAUAUCAGGAAGAACACCGGUGGCGAAGGCGGGUCUCUGGGCCGAUACUGACGCUGAGGAGCGAAAGCGUGGGGAGCGAACAGG